UCGUCCGCAUACAAGGCGCAAUUUUUAGGGAUGGUUCUCUCACCCAUGGAUAAAAUGACAUGGAAGGCUUGGGCUCCUCCAAAGGUCAAGUUCUUUGCUUGGUUGGCUCUACAAGAUAGAGUUUGGACCGCCGAUAGAUUGGCGAAGCGUGGGUGGCCCAACUGUGGUCUUUGCCCUCUCUGUAAAAGAGUGCAAGAAUGCGGGUCUCAUCUCUUCUUCAAAUGCCGCUACACUCAAAGGCUUUAGUCUUUGAUCAUUGACAAAUACCACAUCCUCGGACUUGACGCCUCCGGUUGGCCCUUGUUCAACUCGGUUGAGGCUUGGUGGGCAAGUACCUGCGACAACGACACGCCAAACCGCCAACCUAAGGCGUCCCUAACCAUGCUUGUUUCAUGGACUAUUUGGAACGAGCGAAACGCAAGCGUCUUCAAGCACAAGAGCACACCGUCGACUAUAUUGCUUGCCUCCAUCGAGACUGAGGCCAACCUUUGGGUCAUCGCCGGUGCAAAGAAAUUAGGGUCCAUUAUUUUGCGAGAGUAA
rnacentral:rRNA from 1 species